GGUUCUCGUUUUUUUCACUCUUUUUUAGGCAGCGUGAGGCAGACGUAGUUUUGUGGAGUUUCCAUCUAAAAACAUAUAUACACAUAGAUACUUUUUGGAAAGAAGAAAAGCUAAUCUUGAUUUUUUAGAUACUUUUAUGUAAGGUUACUAAACUUUAUUAUGGGAUAUUUUGCUCUUGAAUAUUAGCUUGAUGUUCUCUCAUGAAUUUGUGGUCAAAAAAAUGUAGAGUCUGCUUUUUUUAUUAUUAAAAUAGCUUGUUUCAUGCAUUUUCUAUGCACAUGCCUAAUUUCAACGAAAAAUAAUUAUAAGCAAUUAGUUUAAUUGGUGUUAUACCAAGUAUACCACUUUUUUCAGAUAGCCCUAGGCAAACGGUUUUUUGAGGUGGUUCCUUUUAGAAACAUAUAUAAACCUUGACAACUUUUGAAAAAAGAAAGGUUAGGCUUGAUUUUACUGUAACUAUUGUGUGUCGCUACCAUACUUUUUUAUGGAGUAUUUUGCUGAGAAUUUUGCAUGAAAAUUUGGCUGAUGUUAUCACAUGGAUUUGUAGUCGAAGAAAUAUAGUCUGCUUUUUUUAUUAUUAAAAUAGUUUACUUCAUGCGUUUUCUAUGAACAUGCCAAAUUUCAACGAAAAAUAAUUAUAAGCAAUUAGUCUAAUUAGUGUUGGACUUUAGGUACCUAAUUUCGGUUUUUCUGUUGUUUUUUUUUGGUAAGCGAAAUCCGGGUGGCGCCGCAAUCCAGAUAAGGGGGCGACUCAAAAAAAAAUCUUUUUUUGAAUUAUUUUGAUUUAUGUUAUUAGAUUUAAUUAAACAUGGAAAAAAAUGAACAAAACUGUGCUAGAUGCCCUAACAGAUAAUCCUACCCGGCUUUUUGUUGAUUUUUUGAGAUUUGUUGAAUCUACACAGCCUAUCACUGUUCCUUCUACAUCUCCAUAAGUGUUAUAUCUUCAGCGGCUUCUACGACUAUUCCAUAUAUACAACCUUCUGCUGUGUUGUGUUAUCCUCAAAGUGAAGUAGAUUCAAAUUAUUACUCUCAUUAAUAUUUUUUGAGGUCCCAGCAUCCUAGACCCACAAGCAAUAGCUCAUUUAAGCAAUGGGUCGAGUUAGGAGGAAAGGAUAAUGAUUCCUUCAAAUUGCACUAUCAUCCUCCUAACAAGGGUGCUGGGAGCUGCAGCAGAAAGGGAGGUAGCCAAGGUCAUGGAAGCAGAGGGAGAAGAUGGAAUGGUGGCAGCCUUGUGGUUCAUGGUGAUUAUUACAAUUAUUAGGCACCGCCUAGUAUUUUCACCACACUUUUUUUAUAAAAUAUAUGUUUAUUAUCAGCA